GGGGGCGUUUUGGCUUCGACGCAGAUCGCGAAACCCGAGGUGCAUGCCGAGGUUGCAAUCACCCUCGUUAAACAGGUUGUAACUUUGAUAGUUGCCAACGACGACAACUACGCACUGGCGGCCUAAAACCCGCUAGCGCCCGCCCGGCAAGUGUCCAUGCUUCUGGUCACGGGUGUCAUAACUCAUGGAACCGCCAAUCGGCACGUCUUGGGCUGAUUGGUUAAACCUUCAAGGCUAAGCGAACGUUUUCCCUUUUCGUCGGGUAGCGUUCGCCGACAAUCAAAGACGUAAUAAGCAUGUAGAUCCAAGGGCGGAGGUUCUGCGGACGCGGGUUCGACUCCCGCCGCCUCCACCA
rnacentral:tmRNA from 1 species